rnacentral:rRNA from 1 species
GACAGAGGUGCCAAGCGUUAGGCGGAAUCACUGGGCUUAAAGCGUGUGUAGGCGGACUGGUAAGUACCUUGUGAAAUCCCACGGCUCAACCGUGGAACUGCUCGGUAUACUGCUCGUCUUGAGCCACUUAGGGGCUGUCGGAACAAACGGUGGAGCGGUGAAAUGCGUAGAUAUCUGGAGGAACACCGGUGGCGAAGGCGGCAUCCUGGACCGGUAUUGACGCUGAGGAGCGAAAGCGUGGGGAGCGAACAGG